UAUUAAAAAUUUCAUUCAUUUUUAUUGUUAAAUACUGACGUGGUUGAAUGAGCAACUAAACAGUGACACUUGGUGUGCGAUGUGUACCUUAUGUUGACAUAGAGGGACUAAUUUAAGUAAAAUGAAUGAAAUUUUUAAUA
rfam:Gossypium raimondii Chr05_contig_91, whole genome shotgun sequence.